rnacentral:rRNA from 1 species
AGUGAACGCUGGCGGCGUGCCUAAUACAUGCAAGUCGAACGGAGUGGCGCACGGGUGAGUAAUAUAUAGCUAAUCUGCCCCUUCCUGGAGGACAACAGUUAGAAAUGACUGCUAAUACUCCAUAGCAAGGGAUAAGACUUGAUCGUAUCAGCUAGUCGGUGGUGUAACGGCCUACUGAGGCUAUGACGCGUAACUGGUCUGCGAGGAUGAUCAGUCACCUUGGAACUGAGAAACGGUCCAAACUCCUACGUGAGGCAGCAGGAGGUAAUAUUGCGCAAUGGGGAAACGCUGACGAAGCAACGCCGCGUGGAGGAUGACACUUUUCGGAGAGUAAACUCCUUUUGUUAGGGAAGCGGUACCUAACGAAUAAGCACCGGCUAACUCCGUGCCAGCAGCCGCGGUAAUAC